CCUACGGGAGGCUGCAGUGAGGAAUAUUGGUCAAUGGGCGCGAGCCUGAACCAGCCAAGUCGCGUGAGGGAAGACGGCCCUACGGGUUGUAAACCUCUUUUGCCGGGGAGCAACGGGCGCCACGUGUGGCGCCACUGAGAGUACCCGGAGAAAAAGCAUCGGCUAACUCCGUGCCAGCAGCCGCGGUAAUACGGAGGAUGCGAGCGUUAUCCGGAUUUAGUGGGUUAAAGGGUUUCGUAGGCGGAGCGUUAAGUCAGUGGUAAAAUGGAGGGGCUCAACCCCUUCCCGCCAUUGAAACUGGCGCUCUUGAGUGGAAGAGAAGUAUGCGGAAUGCGUGGUGUAGCGGUGAAAUGCAUAGAGAUCACGCAGAACCCCGAUUGCGAAGGCAGCAUGCCGGCUUCCGACUGACGCUGAAGCACGAAAGCGUGGGGAUCGAACAGGAUUAGAUACCCCGGUAGUC
rnacentral:rRNA from 1 species